rnacentral:tRNA from 1 species
GCCUCCAUCGUUCAAUGGAUAGGACGUAAGCUUCCGGAGCUUGAGAUGUAGGUCCGAUUCCUACUGGGGGCACUA